UUUUGCCCUUAAAAGGGGUUCAUAACUGUUUGUAAAAGGAGAGAAGACAGAUAAUGGUUGUCAAUUUGAUAUUUGGUAGAGCAUCUCGUAAUAUGAUAGUGAAUGAAAUCAUUUGUCAUUUACAUGGAAAAGGAUAAAAAAAAAAAAUUAUGACUAUAUUUUAACAUGAUGAUGGGCUACAUAGUGAAUAAGUGAUUCUGAGCUUAUCAAUAAGACAGCUUGGAGACUGGUUGAUCACAUGGCGUUUAUUGUGCAUGUCAAACCACGGAAUCUAAUGAUUGUGAUUAGAGUGAACACAAUUAGCAGAUUGGGAUGAAUGAUUUAGUUCCUUUUAUUAAAAUAAGACAUCAACUUAGCAGAAAAGAUAAAUGGAAGUGAUUGGGUAAGAAGUAACUUAAUUCACCUCUGUAUCUUGUUAUCUAAUUGGUUAUGGAUUCAAGCUUAAGACGGAAAGAAGAAUCUAAUGACGUGGGUUUGUAUAAACAUCUGAAAUUUAAAAGAGAAUUGAAGUUACAAUAAAUGAAUAGUGACAUUUUACUGUAUAUGCAUGUGAAUGCUGAGUAAUUCAAUGCUUGUUUGUGUACUUAUAGUAACUGUAUAAUGUAUUCACUAUCAUAUAAGUUUCUUUAUAAAUAGUAUUGUGAUGCAUGCUACCUACUCUCUCUCUCAAAUUGAUUUCUGUGUAGAUAUCCUUGAUGGGACUGUUAUUGUGCUAUGGUAAAAGUCUGGGUGUUGCAUCCUUAUGGUGCAAGUUCAAGUAUCGUUGAUGGGACUGUUGCUUGGUGGUAAAAGUCUGGGUGCUGCAACCUUGUUGGUGCAAGUUCAAGUAUUGAGUGCAAUCAAUGAAUUUGCCUCUAAAUUCUUCCUGAAAUACUAUAAACAAUGCAGAAAUUUGGGGUUUUCACCGAUGUACUUUGAACCUGGCAUGAGCCUAUGCCUGAAAGGAAGAUGAUCCACCAUCCCUUCCCUUGCAAAUGUGGAGAGAGAACUUAGGAUGUUGCACAGUGUGCUUCAGCAUAUAAGAUGUGACAUGUGACUACCAUAAUGAUUCCCAAAUGCCCAUUGAGCAAGGUAUUGAACAAGGUGAUAUCUUUUUCUAGGUCUACUAUGUACAGUUGUACACCCUAUGAUCUAAUGCAAGGGAGGUUUAGGUUUGGCUAAGAAUAAACUUUCUUAAAUGAUUGCCAUUAUCAACUUGCUCACUGAUUUAAGAUAGCAAAAUUGGCCAUAUUGAGAUUGCAUAGCUCUCUAUUGCAUCUCUUCCCACUGGUUUUAUAGGUCCUGUUUUCUAUUUUUUAGUUACAAGUUUCUCUCUUUUCUAUUCAUCAUUGAUAUGUGUUUGUGUUUUCUGUGUGAAAUGUUAGCAUUACAAAGAAAGUCAUUGGCUAACAUAGAAAGUUAAAUUCAAGUUAACUUUUAGCAAGAACAGGAAUUUUAUCGUUUUCUUUUAUCAAGAAUUUUGUUCUUUUGUUUUUGUGCCGGGAAAGAUUGAGCUUCAGCAGUCUUCAGAAUAUAAAAUCACAACAAAAGGAAAGCUCUGUGCUAAUCUGCACCAGUCUGAUUUGAUUAAAAUGGCUUACAAAUUGAGAGAUAGAAGCACACAGAAUCAUCUCAAGUAGGUGGGCUACUCAAACAAGGAUAAUCUUCUAGAAGAGUAAAGGGUCACAUAUUUUUCAUACCUUAGCUGGGAAUUCCUGUUAUAUACCAUUAUAAUUUCAAGGAAGCUGCAAGGAGUGGAAAAAUUAUAGGCAUGAAUGUGGAAAAUAAGUGUGUUGAAUAUUAAUCUAGUAGUACUGGCCGACUUAACACUGACAUAGGACCAGCAGAGAGAAGAGGCGAAGCAAGUAGGCAAAAAUUGUUAAUCAUAUCAUCAUUAUUGAUGCUA